rnacentral:tRNA from 2 species
GCCGGCGUGGUGGAACUGGUAGACGCGCGGGACUCAAAAUCCCGUGGGGCCUGGCUCCGUGUCGGUUCGAUUCCGACCGCCGGCACCA